GGGUCGUUAGCUCAGUCGGUAGAGCAGUUGGCUUUUAACCAAUUGUCGAAGGUCGAAGGUUCGAAUCCUUCACGACCCACCA
rnacentral:tRNA from 1 species